rnacentral:rRNA from 1 species
UACGUAGGGGGCUAGCGUUGUCCGGAAUCAUUGGGCGUAAAGCGCGUGUAGGCGGUCCGGUAAGUCCGCUGUGAAAGUCGAGGGCUCAACCCUCGAAUGCCGGUGGAUACUGUCGGGCUUGAGUACGGGAGAGGCGAGUGGAAUUCCUGGUGUAGCGGUGAAAUGCGUAGAUAUCGGGAGGAACAUCAGUGGCGAAGGCGGCUGCCUGGCCCAAUACUGACACUCAGGUGCGACAGCGUGGGGAGCAAACAGG